rnacentral:rRNA from 1 species
CAGCCGCCGCGGGAAUACGUAGGGUGCAAGCGUUAAUCGGAAUUACAGGGCGUAAAGCGUGCGUAGGCGGCUUCUUAAGUCGGAUGUGAAAUCCCUGAGCUUAACUUAGGAAUUGCAUUCGAUACUGGGAAGCUAGAGUAUGGGAGAGGAUGGUAGAAUUCCAGGUGUAGCGGUGAAAUGCGUAGAGAUCUGGAGGAAUACCGAUGGCGAAGGCAGCCAUCUGGCCUAAUACUGACGCUGAGGUACGAAAGCAUGGGGAGCAAACAGGAUUAGAUACCCCAGUAGUCCCUGUCUCUUAUAC